rnacentral:rRNA from 1 species
UACGUAGGGUGCAAGCGUUGUCCGGAAUUAUUGGGCGUAAAGAGCUCGUAGGCGGUUUGUUGCGUCGGCUGUGAAAUCCCGAGGCUCAACCUCGGGUCUGCAGUCGAUACGAGCAAACUAGAGUGUUGGCAGGGGAGACUGGAAUUCCUGGUGUAGCGGUGAAAUGCGCAGAUAUCAGGAGGGAACACCGGUGGGCGAAGGCGGGUCUCUGGGCAACAACUGACGUGGAGGAGCGAAAGCGUGGGGAGCGAACAGG